GAGGCUUCGCCCAAACUUUUCAGACGGAUGCGAGAUACAAAUUUACCCAAGUAUAAAUGGUUGAAGGUUUUGGAGAGCCAGACAAGAAAGCAGGAAAUGUGAUGUCACUUUUACUUCAAUAAACAUAAACAGCAGGAGCAACAACAGCAUCAGUAGCCAAAACCUCAACUGCAAUAAGAGAUGCAGCAACCGCACCGACAACAUCAACAACACCUACAUGUAUUACAGCAGAAAUGCAACAAUCACAUUGGCAACAUCAACAGCAGCAGGAGCUCCAACAACCAUGCAGGGAACAUCGGGCGCAACAUAAAUAACUUCAUCAAGAGAUGCAACAACCACAGUGGUAAACAUCAACAGCAGUAGCGACAACGACAGUAGAAACAAAGCCAAUGUCAAGGAUUAAGCAAUCAUACAGGAAACAACACAAGCGGCAACAUCAAUAAAUGCAUCAGGGGAUGCAACAGCCACACUUGUAAACAGCAGCAGUAGCAGCGAUGACAAGAGCAACCACACAGGCAACACCUUGAGCAACAUCAGUAGAAAUGCACCAG